rnacentral:rRNA from 1 species
CCUACGGGAGGCAGCAGUGGGGAAUAUUGCACAAUGGGGGAAACCCUGAUGCAGCGACGCCGCGUGAGGGAAGAAGUAUUUCGGUAUGUAAAGCUCUAUCAGCAGGGAAGAAAUAGCGACCUUUGGGUCGCCAGACGGUACCUGACUAAGAAGCCCCGGCUAACUACGUGCCAGCAGCCGCGGUAAUACGUAGGGGGCAAGCGUUAUCCGGAUUUACUGGGUGGAAAGGGAGCGUAGACGGCAGCACAAGUCUGAAGUGAAAUGCCGGGGCUUAACCCCGGCACUGCUUUGGAAACUGUGCAGCUAGAGUGCAGGAGAGGUAAGUGCAAUUCCUAGUGUAGCGGUGAAAUGCGUAGAUAUUAGGAGGAACACCAGUGGCGAAGGCGGCUUACUGGACUGUAACUGACGUUGAGGCUCGAAAGCGUGGGGAGCAAACAGGAUUAGAUGCCCGAGUAGUC